rnacentral:tRNA from 1 species
GGAGGGUACAGCUCAGUGGUAGAGCACAUGCUUAGCUUGUGCGUGAGGUCCUGGGUUCAAUCCCCAGUCCUUCCA